GAUGAACGCUGGCGGCGUGCCUAAUACAUGCAAGUCCAGCGCACGGACGAGAAGCUUGCUUCUCUGAUGUUAGCGGCGGACGGGUGAGUAACACGUGGAUAACCUACCUAUAAGACUGGGAUAACUUCGGGAAACCGGAGCUAAUACCGGAUAAUAUUUUGAACCGCAUGGUUCAAAAGUGAAAGACGGUCUUGCUGUCACUUAUAGAUGGAUCCGCGCUGCAUUAGCUAGUUGGUAAGGUAACGGCUUACCAAGGCAACGAUGCAUAGCCGACCUGAGAGGGUGAUCGGCCACACUGGAACUGAGACACGGUCCAGACUCCUACGGGAGGCAGCAGUAGGGAAUCUUCCGCAAUGGGCGAAAGCCUGACGGAGCAACGCCGCGUGAGUGAUGAAGGUCUUCGGAUCGUAAAACUCUGUUAUUAGGGAAGAACAUAUGUGUAAGUAACUGUGCACAUCUUGACGGUACCUAAUCAGAAAGCCACGGCUAACUACGUG
rnacentral:rRNA from 1 species